GUUUAGGGUAUAUUCCUGUUUUCUUUAGAGUAUAUUCCUGUGUUCAAAAGUACAUACCUUCUCUCAGAUUUGAUAGAUUCCAUGUCCAGUGGCCAAAAUCAACUGAAUCUACAUAAUCAACUGUGGUCAGUUCAUCUUCAUAGAGUACGUCCUUUACAGCCAACUCAUCUUUAAUUUAUUGCCUCUUAACUUUCAGGUAAAAUCACUGUACAAAUAUAAAUAAG
rnacentral:lncRNA from 1 species